AACACGUGGGAACGUGCCUUUAGGUUCGGAAUAGCUCCUGGAAACGGGUGGUAAUGCCGAAUGUGCCCUUCGGGGGAAAGAUUUAUCGCCUUUAGAGCGGCCCGCGUCUGAUUAGCUAGUUGGUGGGGUAAUGGCCCACCAAGGCUACGAUCAGUAGCUGGUCUGAGAGGAUGACCAGCCACAUUGGGACUGAGACACGGCCCAAACUCCUACGGGAGGCAGCAGUGGGGAAUCUUGCGCAAUGGGCGAAAGCCUGACGCAGCCAUGCCGCGUGUAUGAUGAAGGUCUUAGGAUUGUAAAAUACUUUCACCGGUGAAGAUAAUGACUGUAGCCGGAGAAGAAGCCCCGGCUAACUUCGUGCCAGCAGCCGCGGUAAUACGAAGGGGGCUAGCGUUGCUCGGAAUUACUGGGCGUAAAGGGAGCGUAGGCGGACAUUUAAGUCAGAGAUGAAAUCCCGGAGCUUAACUUCGGAACUGCCUUUGAUACUGGGUGUCUUGAGUGUGAGAGAGGUAUGUGGAACUCCGAGUGUAGAGGUGAAAUUCGUAGAUAUUCGGAAG
rnacentral:rRNA from 1 species